rnacentral:SRP_RNA from 1 species
GCUGGGCUUGGUAGCAUGAGCUUGUGACCCAAGUGGGGGCAUUAAGAUGGUGGAACAGUUGGGCUUGCCUUAAAGGUUGGGUUGGGUUGCUAUCUACUGGCUUGCCUGUUCCAAGUGGUGAGUUGUAUGGUGGAGUCUCUGCGAAGGCGGAGGCUUCACUGUCCUUAGAUUGGAGGGCACUGCAUGAGGCUGGCUUCACAGAGCAGCGAUAACCUCCUCCUCUCUACGGUGGAAGGAUAAGGUGCAACCUCAGUCCACUAGUGCCUGAUGGGUUGCUUAGGUGAACCACCAUCUUU